GUGUCUACCAAGAUCUGAUCCUUUCAAAUCUCUUGCUCUGACACUAUACCAGCAUUGACACUCAUCUGCAGUAGCUUGAAGAGCAAAUUCAGUGGAAGUUUCCUGAAAGAAACUAUAUAUUCCAAGAGUUC